AAAAGUCGUAACAAGGUUUCCGUAGGUGAACCUGCGGAAGGAUCAUUAAUAAAAGGAUGCCUCCGGGCAUACCCCAUCCGUGUCUAUCUACUCUUGUUGCUUUGGCAGGCCGUGGUCUACCACUGUGGGCUCUGCCUGCAUGUGCCUGCCAGAGGACCAAACUCUGAAUGUUAGUGAUGUCUGAGUACUAUAUAAUAGUUAAAACUUUCAACAACGGAUCUCUUGGUUCUG
rnacentral:misc_RNA from 1 species